rnacentral:rRNA from 1 species
UAGGGGUGAAAGGCCAAUCAAACUUCGUGAUAGCUGGUUCUCUCCGAAAUGCAUUUAGGUGCAGCGUUACGUGUUUCUUACUGGAGGUAGAGCUACUGGAUGGCCGAGGGGACCUACAAGUUUACCAACGUCAGCCAAACUCCGAAUGCCAGUAAGUGAGAACGUAGCAGUGAGACAGUGGGGGAUAAGCUUCAUUGUCGAGAGGGAAACAACCCAGAACAGCAACUAAGGUCCCAAAGCGUGUGCUAAGUGGAAAAGGAUGUGAAGUCGCAUAGACAACCAGGAUGUUGGCUUAGAAGCAGCCACCAUUAAAAGAGUGCGUAAUAGCUCACUGGUCAAGUGAUUUCGCGCCGACAAUGUAACGGGGCUCAAGCACGCCACCGACGUUCUGUCAUUCACACAUCAUCCAGGUCGCAAGAUCCAGGAGUGUGGAUGGGUAGGAGAGCGUCGUGCAACUAGUGAAGCGGUGGAGGAAUCCAACCGUGGAAGUUGCACGAGUGAGAAUGUAGACAUGAGUAGCGAAAGAUGGGUGAGAAACCCGUCCGCCGAAUGACCAAGGGUUCCUGGGCCAGGCUAAUCCGCCCAGGGUAAGUCGGGACCUAAGACGAGGCCGUCAGGCGUAGUCGAUGGACAACUGGUUGAUAUUCCAGUACCCGCUAAGAGCGCCCAGAACGAGCCUGCUAAUGCUAAGUGCCUGAAGUCUUCUUGGGGUAAAACCUAAAGGGGGCGGAGCGCGCGACCCAAGGCAGUAGUAGUUCAGCAAUGGUGUGACACAGGAAGGUAGUUCAACCCAGGCGAUGGUUGUCCUGGGGUAAGAGUGUAGGAAGUAGCGUAGGUAAAUCCGCGCUACACAUUUCUGAGACUCGAUGCCGAGCCGUAUGGCGAAGUGAAUGAUCCUAUGCUGUCAAGAAAAACAUCUAGCGAGCUCAACAGCGGCCCGUACCCGAAACCGACACAGGUGGUCAGGUAGAGAAUACCAAGGCGAUCGAGAGAAUCGUGGUGAAGGAACUCGGCAAAUUACCCCCGUAACUUCGGGAUAAGGGGGGCCAAAUUACGUGUAGGGAUUUACUCCCGAAGCGUGAGUUGGCCGCAGAGACUAGGCUCAAGCGACUGUUUACCAAAAACACAGGUCCGUGCAAAUUCGUAAGAAGACGUAUACGGACUGACGCCUGCCCGGUGCUGGAAGGUUAAGGGGACUGGUUAGCCGCAAGGCGAAGCUGAGAACUUAAGCCCCAGUAAACGGCGGUGGUAACUAUAACCAUCCUAAGGUAGCGAAAUUCCUUGUCGGGUAAGUUCCGACCUGCACGAAUGGCGUAACGACUUGAGCACUGUCUCCACCAUGAACUCGGCGAAAUUGCAUUACGAGUAAAGAUGCUCGUUACGCGCAGCAGGACGGAAAGACCCCGGGACCUUUACUAUAUCUUGAUAUUGGCACUCGGAACGGUUUGUGUAGCAUAGGUGGGAGACUUUGAAGCGGCACGCCAGUGUUCGUGGAGUCAUCGUUGAAAUACCACUCUAAUCGUUUUGAGUUUCUAACCUCGGUCCAUGAUCUGGAUCAGGGACAGUGUCUGGUGGGUAGUUUGACUGGGGCGGUCGCCUCCCAAAAAGUAACGGAGGCGCUCAAAGGUUCCCUCAAUCUGGUUGGUAAUCAGAUGUCGAGUGUAAGUGCACAAGGGAGCUUAACUGUGAGACAGACAUGUCGAGCAGGUGCGAAAGCAGGAACUAGUGAUCCGGCGGUGGCUUGUGGAAGCGCCGUCGCUCAACGGAUAAAAGGUACCCCGGGGAUAACAGGCUGAUCUUGCCCAAGAGUCCAUAUCGACGGCAAGGUUUGGCACCUCGAUGUCGGCUCGUCUCAUCCUGGGGCUGGAGUAGGUCCCAAGGGUUGGGCUGUUCGCCCAUUAAAGAGGCACGCGAGCUGGGUUCAGAACGUCGUGAGACAGUUCGGUCCCUAUCCGCUGUGUGCGUAGGAAACUUGAGAAGAGCUGUCUUUAGUACGAGAGGACCGAGACGGACGAAUCUCUAGUGUGUGGGUUGUUUCGCCAGAAGCACGGCCCAUUAGCUACAUUCGGAAGAGAUAACCGCUGAAAGCAUCUAAGCGGGAAGCUCGCUUCAAGAUUAGGUUUCCCAUUGGUUUACCAAGUAAGGCCCCCAAGAGACUAUUGGGUUGAUAGGCCGGAAGUGGAAGAGGCGCAAGCCUUGGAGCUGACCGGUACUAAUAGGCCGAGGAUUUAACUAC